rnacentral:rRNA from 1 species
GUCAGGAAUAUUGGACAAUGGGCGAAAGCCUGAUCCAGCCAUGCCGCGUGAACGAUGAAGGCCUUCGGGUUGUAAAGUUCUUUAGCCGAUGAUUAUAAUGACUGUAGUCGGAAAAUAAGCCCCGGCUAACUUCGUGCCAGCAGCCGCGGUAAUACGAAGGGGGCGAGCGUUAUUCGGAAUCACUGGGCGUAAAGCGUGCGUAGGCGGUUUUGUAAGUUAGGAGUGAAAGCCCAGGGCUCAACCUUGGAAUUGCACUUAAAACUGCAAGGCUCGAAUCUCGGAGAGGAUAGCGGAAUUUCCAGUGUAGCAGUGAAAUGCGUAGAUAUUGGAAGGAACACCAGUGGCGUAAGCGGCUAUCUGGACGAGUAUUGACGCUGAGGCACGAAAGCGUGGGGAUCAAACAGGAUUAGAUACCCCGGUAGUCC